rnacentral:rRNA from 1 species
UACGGAGGAUGCAAGCGUUAUCCGGAAUGAUUGGGCGUAAAGCGUCCGCAGGUGGCCAUGUAAGUCUGCUGUCAAAGCGUCUGGCUCAACCAGAUAAAGGCAGUGGAAACUACAUAGCUAGAGUAAGGUAGGGGUAGAGGGAAUUCCUGGUGUAGCGGUGAAAUGCGUAGAGAUCAGGAAGAACACCGGUGGCGAAAGCGCUCUGCUGGACCUUAACUGACGCUGAGGAGCGAAAGCGUGGGGAGCGAACAGG